GAAAAGGCCACUCUUGUACAUUUGAACAUUAUAGUUUAGGGGAAGAGAAAGAAUAGAAGUAAGCAAAGAACUGAAUACGUAAUUACAAAUUGUGAAAAAGGCUGCAUGGGAAGAACAGGCUUAGACAAUAAGGGGAGACUAGCUUUAUAUUGGCUCUAGGGCCCACAGUAAAGGUGAAUGACAUCAAAGAGACCAAAAAGUAACAGGAAGAAUUAUCCAGAGCCCUGCCUGCCGUGGACCAGAGAAGCAAGAAGAGGAGCAUCCUGGGCGUACUUACUCAAGAGUCUUACAAAAUGGCAGCCACACGUCUGUCUGCUGUGGUCGACCCUGCUGGUGCCCAUGAGAGGAUCACAGAGGUGAAAAACAUCUACUCUGCAUUACAGGUGAAUUUUUUCCUAAAAU
rnacentral:lncRNA from 1 species